CGGGGAGCCCGGGGGCCGCGCCGGGGGUGCCAGGUUCCCGCACACUGGAGUGGCGGCGCCUCCCCGUGGUGUCCCCGAGCCUGGGUCCUUUUUGGGACUGGCUCUGGCACUCCCAGGCACUCAGUCCAGUAGAGAAAUCCAGCAGGAGGCUUCCAGGUCGGACUCCUCCGAGGAGUAAGGAGAGGGAAGGGGCCUCACAAACACACCCAGAGCCCCCAGUGCACAGUUUCAGAUUCAAAUCCUGGCUCCACUGCUUACUACUCUCAAGAUGGGAGUCGUUUCUGAGACUGUUUCUUUCUGUAAAAUGAAGAGAAGGAACUUCAUUAUGGCUGUGGUGAGGAUUAGAAAUGUGACCACGCUUGCGAAGUGCCGGGGAAGUGCCGGGGAAGUGCCG
rnacentral:lncRNA from 1 species